CAAGAAGAAAGGAGAAGACAGGGUGCCUGUCUUCCACAUCUAGUUUCCAUAGGAGCCAGAGACAAGAGGGGAUAAAAAGAGAAGCUUGAAGGAAGAGGAAGAGGAAGCUGGGGGUGGGUACAUGUAGUGGGAGUGAGGGGCAGAGUAGCAGCCAUUAUUGUAGAAAAGGUGGGGGAGGGAAGGACCAGGCUGGAGGGGCUCCCCAGCCUGGGAGGAAGCAGCCCUCUUCCUAUGCCAGUAGCUCCCUCUGCUU